rnacentral:lncRNA from 1 species
UAUUGCCAUUGGGGUUUUACCUCCUCUCCUCUCUCAUUGCGUGAUGUGAAACAUUGAUACCAGCUCCCAAGGGCAGUGCUGAUGUGAAGCCACGUUGAUCAAUAAACAGCUCUUGACAGGACCGGAAGGGUGCGAUAUGAACUACUAGAUACAUACAAGAUACAGACAUUGGAAAAACAAAGAGCUCCUUCGCACCUUCUCUGCUCUGCCAGUUGCAGUGUCACACUGGGCCAGGAUGAAGAACUUCCACUACUUCAGGUAACUGCAACCGUUGCGCCGCUAUCCCCGCUUGAUCACGUGCAACAGCAUCACUAAUAACAGAAACAGUUACUUGAGUAUCUCUGGUUGGAGGUGCUUGUUUGUAUGUGAAUGCUGAUGUGUGGGUGAGAGAUCCUCAGCCUCAUGUGAAAAAACUCAACGUCUCAGCCCCACAGCCUGUCUGCGAGCUUCCCACUGUCUCUCAUAGAAGUUCGUUCCUCGCC